CUCGAGCGGCGAACGGGUGAGUAACACGUGAGUAAUCUGCCUCUGGCUUUGGGAUAGCCACCGGAAACGGUGAUUAAUACCGGAUACGACACAUCUCCGCAUGGGGCGUGUGUGGAAAGUUUUUCGGCCAGGGAUGUGCUCGCGGCCUAUCAGCUUGUUGGUGGGGUAAUGGCCUACCAAGGCUUCGACGGGUAGCCGGCCUGAGAGGGUGACCGGCCACACUGGGACUGAGACACGGCCCAGACUCCUACGGGAGGCAGCAGUGGGGAAUAUUGGACAAUGGGCGGAAGCCUGAUCCAGCAACGCCGCGUGAGGGAUGACGGCCUUCGGGUUGUAAACCUCUUUCAGCACAGACGAAGCGCAAGUGACGGUAUGUGCAGAAGAAGGACCGGCCAACUACGUGCCAGCAGCCGCGGUAAUACGUAGGGUCCGAGCGUUGUCCGGAAUUAUUGGGCGUAAAGGGCUCGUAGGCGGUUUGUCGCGUCGGGAGUGAAAUCACCGGGCUUAACUCGGUGCUUGCUUUCGAUACGGGCAGACUAGAGGUAUUCAGGGGAGAACGGAAUUCCUGGUGUAGCGGUGAAAUGCGCAGAUAUCAGGAGGAACACCGGUGGCGAAGGCGGUUCUCUGGGAAUAUCCUGACGCUGAGGAGCGAAAGUGUGGGGAGCGAACAGGAUUAGAUACCCUGGUAGUCCACACCGUA
rnacentral:rRNA from 2 species